GGGACUUUAGCUCAGUUGGUAGAGCAGCUCCCUUUUAAGGAGCGGGUCGUUGGUUCGAGCCCAACAAGUCUCA
rnacentral:tRNA from 1 species